AGUGAACGCUGGCGGUAGGCCUAACACAUGCAAGUCGAACGGCAGCACAGUAAGAGCUUGCUCUUACGGGUGGCGGGUGGCGGACGGGUGAGGAAUACAUCGGAAUCUACUUUUUCGUGGGGGAUAACGUAGGGAAACUUACGCUAAUACCGCAUACGACCUACGGGUGAAAGCAGGGGAUCUUCGGACCUUGCGCGAUUGAAUGAGCCGAUGUCGGAUUAGCUAGUUGGCGGGGUAAAGGCCCACCAAGGCGACGAUCCGUAGCUGGUCUGAGAGGAUGAUCAGCCACACUGGAACUGAGACACGGUCCAGACUCCUACGGGAGGCAGCAGUGGGGAAUAUUGGACAAUGGGCGCAAGCCUGAUCCAGCCAUGCCGCGUGGGUGAAGAAGGCCUUCGGGUUGUAAAGCCCUUUUGUUGGGAAAGAAAAGCAGCAGGUUAAUACCCCGCUGUUCUGACGGUACCCAAAGAAUAGGCACCGGCUAACUUCGUG
rnacentral:rRNA from 1 species